UACGUAGGGUGCAAGCGUUAAUCGGAAUUACUGGGCGUAAAGCGUGCGCAGGCGGUGAUGUAAGACAGUUGUGAAAUCCCCGGGCUCAACCUGGGAACUGCAUCUGUGACUGCAUCGCUGGAGUGCAGCAGAGGGGGAUGGAAUUCCGCGUGUAGCAGUGAAAUGCGUAGAUAUGCGGAGGAACACCGAUGGCGAAGGCAGCCCCCUGGGCUGAGAUUGACGCUCAGGCACGAAAGCGUGGGGAGCAAACAGG
rnacentral:rRNA from 1 species